rnacentral:rRNA from 1 species
UACGGGGGGGGCAAGCGUUGUUCGGAAUUACUGGGCGUAAAGGGCGCGUAGGCGGCCUGCUAAGUCGGAUGUGAAAUCCCUCGGCUCAACCGAGGAACUGCAUCCGAUACUGGCGGGCUUGAAUCCGGGAGAGGGAUGUGGAAUUCCAGGUGUAGCAGUGAAAUGCGUAGAGAUGUGGAGGAACACCGAUGGCGAAGGCAGCCCCCUGGGCUGAGAUUGACGCUCAGGCACGAAAGCGUGGGGAGCAAACAGG